AUUGAACGCUGGCGGCAGGCUUAACACAUGCAAGUCGAGCGGGGGAAGGUAGCUUGCUACCGGACCUAGCGGCGGACGGGUGAGUAAUGCUUAGGAAUCUGCCUAUUAGUGGGGGACAACAUCUCGAAAGGGAUGCUAAUACCGCAUACGUCCUACGGGAGAAAGCAGGGGAUCUUCGGACCUUGCGCUAAUAGAUGAGCCUAAGUCGGAUUAGCUAGUUGGUGGGGUAAAGGCCUACCAAGGCGACGAUCUGUAGCGGGUCUGAGAGGAUGAUCCGCAACACUGGGACUGAAACACGGCCCAGACUCCUACGGGAGGCAGCAGUGGGGAAUAUUGGACAAUGGGGGGAACCCUGAUCCAGCCAUGCCGCGUGUGUGAAGAAGGCCUUAUGGUUGUAAAGCACUUUAAGCGAGGAGGAGGCUACUUUAGUUAAUACCUAGAGAUAGUGGACGUUACUCGCAGAAUAAGCACCGGCUAACUCUGUGCCAGCAGCCGCCGUAA
rnacentral:rRNA from 1 species